rnacentral:rRNA from 1 species
UACGAAGGGGGCUAGCGUUGCUCGGAAUCACUGGGCGUAAAGCGCACGUAGGCGGCUUUCUAAGUCAGGGGUGAAAUCCUGGAGCUCAACUCCAGAACUGCCUCUGAUACUGGAGAGCUAGAGUCCAGAAGAGGUGAGUGGAACUGCGAGUGUAGAGGUGAAAUUCGUAGAUAUUCGCAAGAACACCAGUGGCGAAGGCGGCUCACUGGUCCGGUACUGACGCUGAGGUGCGAAAGCGUGGGGAGCAAACAGG